rnacentral:rRNA from 1 species
UACGAAGGGGGCUAGCGUUGCUCGGAAUCACUGGGCGUAAAGCGCACGUAGGCGGCUUUUUAAGUCAGGGGUGAAAUCCCGGAGCUCAACUCCGGAACUGCCUUUGAUACUGAAAAGCUUGAGUUCGGGAGAGGUGAGUGGAACUGCGAGUGUAGAGGUGAAAUUCGUAGAUAUUCGCAAGAACACCAGUGGCGAAGGCGGCUCACUGGCCCGAUACUGACGCUGAUGCACGAAAGCGUGGGGAGCAAACAGG